AUGAAUGUCGAGGUUUGCAGUUUCAGAGGGUACAAGAUCUACCCCGGACACGGGAGGUGCUAUGCCAGGACCAAUGACGAGAAGGUUUUCCAGUGUCUUAAUGCAAAAUGCGAGUUGGCGUUCCUUGCCAAGAGGAAUCCUUGGCAGGUAAACUGGACUGUCCUCUACAGAAGGAAGCACAAAAAAGGACAAUUGGAAGAAAUUCAACAGAAAAGAAGCUGCUGAGCAAAUUGCAGAGGGCCCUUAAUGGUGCAAUCUCUCAUUGACAUAAUGGCCAAGAGGAAUGAGAAACUUGACAUUAGAAAGGCUCAAUGAGAACAAGCUAUCAGGGCUCAUAAAGAAGCAAAAAAGGCUAAGCAAGCAGCUAAAAAGACCGCAAUGGCUGCUGCUAAGACACCUACAAAGGCAGCACCUAGGCAGACAAUUGCAAAGCCUGUGGAAGUUUCAGCUCCCCAAGUUGGUGGAAAACGCUAA
rnacentral:lncRNA from 1 species